ACCUCCGACUUCAGCUCCUCGUACGUUCCGUCCUCCUCUUUGCCCUCCUCUUUGUCCUCAGCGUCGUCUGUCCUGGAGUUGGGCACCCAGAGGCCUGACUCUAUACACGCCUUCAUAUGGACCUUCGCCUCCUAAAAGGGCUUCCACCAGCAUCUGCCCAGUAUGGACUGUUUUUGCAUUCACGUCAUGAUUACAUCACUGCAUUAGGUGGAGACAAAACAAAAGCAGAGACCUCACUUCCAUUAAGGAACUGACGGAAUAAGGCAUCCUGCUAAAGAACGCAUACAGUGACUCGUACACCUCUACUGGAUCCAGGCCCCCGGGGCCGAUGCGCUUCUGCCGCUCUUCCUCCUCGUAUUCCUUCAUGGCCUUCUCUAUGCGGAUCUUGGCCCGGCCACGCACCCGGCCCUUGAAGGACUCCAGCUCGUCGUUGAAGGCAUCCUGGUACUGCUGGUCGGCGGUCUGGAUAUAAACAGUCAACACCUCAAGAUAUAAACAAUCUAUUGUUUAUAUCUUGAGGUGUGUUGGUGGUUUGCUGCAACAACUUUCGUGUGAAACAUGGAAAUUAAUACAUUUUACUUCAAAUGUUCCCUUGAAAUGCUACCCUAAGUCUAUUAAGGCAACCAUUGCACCCCUAACCACCUCCAGAAUGAGGGAUCCCCACUUUGAAAAAAAAAAAUGGGUUGUCCUUGCUGUUUUGGGAGCUAGGGUUGGGGGGCUUUACAGGCCAUACAAUAUGUCCUUUAAAGCCCUUUAAGUCUGUGAUGAAGGACCAUGCAAAGGAUUUGAUGUGACGGUACCAAGCCACAUGCUGUAUUAUUAACCAAAGCAACGUUACCUUGAUCUUAGCGAAGAACUGGCGAAAACAACCGCGUGGGUCCACCUUGAGGCUUUUGGCCAGCUCCAGAAUGAAUUGCAUUACAAUGGUCUGAUGAGCCACCUGCUCCAUCAGCGCAUGUUUCUUUGAAGAAAAUACAAGUGGUCAGCCGUUACACACAUUUGUGAAGGAAAAAAAAAAAAAAAAAAAAACAGUCAUGAGACUAGAACCCCA